AUGCCGCCCGCAUCCAACUCGCCCUCCACCGCCCCGCCGCCUCCCUCCACCCCGGCGGCCACCAAGCCGCGCCCGCGCCACCCCCUGGGGCUGGACUCCCUCGCCUCCACCAGCCGGCCCCUCUUCGCCGCGGCCCGCCGGUCCCCGGUCGCCACGCUCGCCUGCGCCAUCACCCUCCUCGCGCUCAUCAUGUACGGCGAGGACGCGCGCACCAUCGCGGAGCUCUCCAUCGACGACUACCUCUACCCGGACGCCGACAUCUACAACGUCUCCGGCCUUCCCCCCAUCAAGCUGCCCCCGCCCACCUGCGACCUCGCCCACGGCCGCUGGGUCUUCGACAACGAAUCCCUCCCCCUCUACCGGGAGAAAGAGUGCAACUUCCUCACCAAGCAGCUCACCUGCCUCGCCAACGGCCGCAACGACGAUUUAUGGCAGUACUGGCAAUGGCAGCCCAACAACUGCUCCCUCCCCACAUGGUUGGUUGGUGAAUCGUGGAUGGAUUCGAUCAGGUUCGACGCCAGGAGGUUCAUGGAGAGGAUGAGGGGGAAGCGGCUCAUGUUCGUGGGGGACUCGCUCAACAGGAACCAGUUUUACUCGCUGGUGUGCAUGGUGCAGUCCAUCUUGAGCAAGGGGAGGAAGAAGGUGGUCAAACGGGGAUCAAACACCAUCUUCCACGCCAAGGAGUACCGCGCCACGCUCGAGUUCUACUGGGCGCCAUUCCUUGUCGAGUCCAACUCUGACGACCCAAAUAUCCACAGCAUCGAGCACCGGAUCAUACGGCCCGAGAGGAUCGAGGGACACGCCCAGUAUUGGAGGGGUGUGGACUACCUCAUCUUCGACACCUACAUCUGGUGGAUGAACACCGCCGACAUCAAAGUUCGGAGGCCAGAUUCAAGGUCUUGGUCCGAGCACGACGAGGUGCCGAGGAUCGAGGCAUAUGGCCGGGUGCUCAAAACGUGGUCGGACUGGCUGAAUGAGAAUAUCGAUCCGGCGCGGACAUCCGUCUUCUUCAUGACAAUUUCUCCUAUUCACAUCAGCCCAGAUAAAUGGGGAAACCCCCACGGGAUCAAAUGCGCGAAGGAGACGCUCCCGGUGCUCAACUACACGGAGCCCCUGGACCUCAACCACGACAUGCGCUUGUACGACAUGGUGGCGAGCACGGCCAGGUCCAUGAAGAAAGUGCCGGUCACGCUCAUCGACAUCACCAGGAUGUCGGACUACCGGAAGGACGCCCACACGUCCGUCUACUCCGUCCGGCGGGGCUACCUGCUGACCCCGAAGCAGAAGAACGACCCUGAGAAGUUUGCCGACUGCAUCCACUGGUGCCUUCCCGGCGUGCCCGACGUCUGGAACACCGUGCUCUACACGAGGAUCUUCUCGAAAUCGCCCCCUUCUUCGCCGCCGGCUCUCGCCCUCCCGCCUCCCCAGUGA
rnacentral:rRNA from 1 species